ACCAUUUCUUCUUGAAAUUUCGGUGGGAGACAGCCAUGGAAGAGGGUUUGGAGCUGGUAUUCCAUAUUUUGGCUUCAAGUAAGUUUAAUUCUUGCUUUGUCCUUGAAAUUUUUAUAUUUUUAGACUUUUACAAUUAGGUCCAACUCAGUAUUCUACUAGUUUCUCAUUUUGUUGAAAGUUUUGGAAGAUACUAAUGAUAAUUUCAUAUGAUUGUUGUUAUUUUGUGAUGAAAUUGAGAUGUUAAUGGAUGUUUAAAGGUGUUUUAUUAAAGAAUUUUAGAUGAAAACAUGUUUUGGGGAUUAAAUUGAAAAGUAUUGAAAUCAUGGAGAAAUUCUAAAAAUUCAUGGAAUCUAUGGGCUGUUAUUGAUAUGUAUGAGAAAUACUAGGCUUGAAUCAAGGAUUAUAUUGCAAGAAUUUCAUUUUCCAAGCCUAGGGACGAAAUUAUCAUGUAUUAAAAGUUUAGAGUCAAAUUGGUAAUCAAUAUAUUACACUAAACAGUUUUGGGCAGCAGCAGUGGUCUAACUUUGAAAAAUCACCAAAAAUUGUGGAAAUUUAAUUAAAGGGUGAAUAAAAUAUGAAAUUAAAUCUUAUUGAGUCUAGUUUCUCAUAGAAGAAACGGUGUAAGCAAUGAAAUUGUAAAUCAUGAGAUAUAAUAGAUUUUGUGAGACAAGGUCAGAAUGAAUUCGGGUUCCCCUAUUCUGAAUUUGGAAAAUCAUUAAAAAUUGUACAAAAACGAUUAUGAGUUAUAAUUUAUAUGGUUAGAAUCCUUAAUGAGUCUAUUUUUAUAAGAAACAAAUAGAAAUAUCAUCCAAAUUCUGUACAAUGAGAUAAUUAAUUUUUAGUGAAGAGUGGUCGGAACUGUCAGACAGCGAAACAGGGGAACUUUAAAGAAUAAACUGUACUAUUUGGCUCAACCAAAAAUUCUGAAAAUUUUAUGGUAAGAAGGUAUAUGAGUCUAGUUUCAGGAAAAAUUAACGGAUCUUAAUUUGGAGCUUUGUAUCUCCGGAUAAAAAUAAUUCAGUGACUCUGACUCGGAUAAACAGCUUUGAAUAUACAUGUGAGUGAAUAGUGAAAUUAUAGCUAAUGUUGUUUAAGUGUGUUAUACACAUUAAGGAUGUGGAAUGGAGAGGAGGAGGAGGAAAAUUGGGAAGUAUACAAAUGAUUUGUGUAUAAUUGGUCAUAUGCUUGAUUAUAAUUGAUAAACGAUGAAAUAGAAAUAAUGCUUAUAUUUGUGCAUUAUUGGUUAUGGUUUAAGCUCAUGUGUGAAAAUAAAGUUUCAUAGUAUGUGUGUGUGGUAUAUUCGGUAUAUGAUUCGGCAUGAAAUAAUUUCAUGAAUGGUUUAUCAUGUGGUUAGUUCCAAAAAAAGUUAUGUUUAAAUAUACUAGCUUGUGACUAUGGUUGAAUGAUAUGUGUUAGGAUCGUCCCGAAUAAGCAACGAACAAGUAAAAAUAGUAGAAGAAAUUGAGAAGAUGAACACACAAAUUUAACGUGGAAAAACCCCUCAAAAGAGGAUAAAAAACCACGGGCAAAGAUAAUUUUACUAUAAUGGCAAAAGAAUGAAGAGUACAAAAGAUGGAGAUAAAAACUAAACCCCGAAAACCCGAAAAACAAAGAACCCUCAAACGUAAACACAAAAUUCUCUGAAUGUGUUAUGAGUUCUAAUCUAAUGGGUGUCUCUUUAAUUCUAAGAUUGUAAAGGAGCCUAUUUAUAGGCUAAAUUAGUAAGUCAAAUAAACUAUACUAAUAAAUGCUAAAUAUAUUAUACUAAUAAAUACUAAAUCUUCUAGAAAGAAAAUAUAUUUUUGUUUAACUUGACUUGCAAGCAAUCUCUUAGAAUUUGGGUCACACAAUUCUAACAAUCUCCACAUUGACACGAAUUCUUUCAAUGCCAUCUUUGCCAAAACCCGCCACGGGCCUAUCUUGAACUAUGCAGGGAAUUAACUGAGUCGAAUCUAUGCUUAGAAGCUGGAAGACUUCUAGCCUUCGACUUGUGCACUGCCAAAUCAAAACUAACCCGGGUCUGAUUUUCACGAAUACAGUAACCUAACUUUUCAAAACCUGCAUCCAAAAGAGAACCUCUCUUCAACGAAACGGUCAUACCUUUUUCCCUCCUAUGACCAAGUUGCCUCCGCUUCAAAUGAGUUGACUUUGACUCCGUAACGGACGAGGGACGUCCGAUUUCACCGGUCACUGUAGAACCUUCUAGAAUAUAAAGACUGCCGGUUCUUUUACCUUUUAACAAAACGAGAGCUCCACGAGAUACUUUAAUGUCGCUCGACUCGAUGUUGAUUCUGCAUCUUUUCAAGUCUAAAAUACUCAAGGAGAUGAGAUUCUUUCGUAAAUCAGGUACAUACCUGACAUCUGAGAGUGUCCUAAUCGUCCCAUCGUGUAUCCUAAUAUUAACAGUACCAAUACCGAUUAUUUUACUAGAUGAAUCGUUUCCCAUGUGCACAACUCCACCUUCAACUGAACUGUAUGUGGAGAACCAUUCUCUAUUGGGACACAUGUGGAAAGAACAUUCUGAAUCUAGGAUCCACUCAGACGUAAGCUUGAAGUUAUCUCUCGUUGACACUAACAAGAAAUCAUCACCGCCUUCAUCGACCAAAUUAGCACCAGCUACAUCUUCCUCGUUACUCUCAGCAACUCUUUUAUUUCGCAGUUUAUAACAAUCUGCUUUGACGUGACCUAACUUUUUGCAAUAGCGACACCUUUUGUCUCGUUUCUUUGAUGCUACCAAAACGGAAGCUUGUCUAUCUACUUUGCUAUUCAAAUCAAACUCAUUUUCGAGUUUGUCUCUACUCAACAAAUGACCCUUCACAUCUUCGAACGAGAGUUUAUCUCUGCCAUAAAUCAGGGUCUCCCUGAAAGACUUGUAUGAAGAGGGUAAAGAGCACAAUAAUAGCAUAGCUUGAUCUUCAUCGUCAAUAUGAACCUCAACGUUCUUUAAAUCAUUUAAAAGAGUAAUGAAUUGACUGAUGUGAUCUUUAAGAAGCUCACCUUCGUUCAUGCGAAACGUAAAUAGACGUUGUUUCAACACUAAACGGUUAGCCAGAGACUUAAUCGCAUAAAGAGUUUCUAACCUUUUCCACAAGGCGAAUGAGGUCUUCUCCAUCAAUACCUCCAGCAAUACUGUAUUCGCGAGGCACAACUGGAUUGCAGACAAGGCCUUUUCAUCAAGCUCUUCCCAUUCUGUUUGAUUUAGAUUCUCAGGCUUUUUCCCUGUAACAACCUUUUUCAAGCCAUUUUGAACUAGAAUUGCCAUCAUCCGAACUUGCCACAGAUUGAAAUUUGUCUCACCAUCGAACUUCUCAAUUUCAAACUUGUUGCUGCCAUCUCUGACCGGGCUGAUCUAUGAAAGUUAAACUAGCUCUGAUACCACUUGUUAGGAUCGUCCCGAAUAAGCAACGAACAAGUAAAAAUAGUAGAAGAAAUUGAGAAGAUGAACAAACAAAUUUAACGUGGAAAAACCCCUCAAAAGAGGAUAAAAAACCACGGGCAAAGAUAAUUUUACUAUAAUGGCAAAAGAAUGAAGAGUACAAAAGAUGGAGAUAAAAACUAAACCCCGAAAAUCCGAAAAACAAAGAACCCUCAAACGUAAACACAAAAUUCUCUGAAUGUGUUAUGAGUUCUAAUCUAAUGGGUGUCUCUUUAAUUCUAAGAUUGUAAAGGAGCCUAUUUAUAGGCUAAAUUAGUAAGUCAAAUAAACUAUACUAAUAAAUGCUAAAUAUAUUAUACUAAUAAAUACUAAAUCUUCUAGAAAGAAAAUAUAUUUUUGUUUAACUUGACUUGCAAGCAAUCUCUUAGAAUUUGGGUCACACAAUUCUAACAAUAUGUUUAUAUCUUGUGUGAUGUGCAUAGGAAACAAGUGUGGUAAGAUAAUGAAAUAGUAAGUUCAUAUGGCUGAAAUUUAAUGAUUAAAUGUUAAUUUCAUGAAUUAUAUAAAUGUAUGAUGAAAUAUAUUUAUUGUUGAAAUGAGAAUAAAAUACGAAUGCGAAAACCGAAUAAAUGAUCAAAUUGAGCGGAACGCCGGAUUUGAGUACUUCUGAUCAAGAGAUAAAGUGAUAAGUGGUAGCUUUAGCUACACUUAUCUGAUCAAGUGAAAAAGUGAUAAGUGCUACACUUAUCUGAUCAAGUGACAAAGUGAUAAGUGAUAGUUUCGGCUACACUUAUCUGAUCAAGUGACAAGUGAAAAGUGAUAAGUGAUAGCUUUAGCUACACUUAUCUGAUCAAGAGACAAAGUGAUAAGUGGCUACACUUAUCUGAUCAAGAGACAAAGUGAUAAGUGGCUACACUUAUCUGAUCAAGAAAUAAAGUGAUAAGUGGCUACACUUAUCUGAUCAGGGACAAGUGAUAAGUGAUCAUACGUAAGACCAUAGUUAUACUAUGGCAAAGUGAAAGUGAAGUACUCAAUUUUCCGUAACCGUUCCCUAAUUUGAUUAAGGAUGGUAAGUGACAAAUGGGCCCAAAUGAAUUAAAGAAAAUGGAUAAGUGGUAGUGUAUUUAUACCAGGAUGAUGUGGUUAUUUAAUCUAAAGUGAUAUUUUCAUUGCAAAAUUGAGAAUUUCAUAAAUGUGUUAUUGAAUGAUAUAAUCGAUAAACAUUGAGUUAAAUGGUAAAUACGUAUUAGUGUUAAACUUAGUGACAUUGAAUUGUACGUGAAUUAAAUGGAAAUUGCUAGUGAUAUGAUCUAAAUUAUGAGCAUGAGAAAUUGUGAAUUAAAUGAAAUGGAAAUGAAGCAUUGAAUUGUAUGAGUAUGUACCGGGUCUCGUAGGCCCUAAUUAUUAUGAUUAUAAUAUUUUGAGGAUAUAUUGUGAAAAGAUAUAGAAGCAUGUUAAUUAUUUUGAAAGUUUUUAUUUAGUUGAAAUUUUAUAACUCGGUUAAAUACGUUUACAAGUGUAUGUGUUUUGGUAAUGCCUCGUACCCUAUUCCGGUGUUGGAUACAGGUAAGGGGUGUUACAAGUCGGUUACGCACGAUGAAAGAUUAGCACCCUCGAUACGCCCAAAAUUGAUACCUAGUUGAUUACUUAAUGUCUUAAUGUCGAAAAUUGAAAACUUUGAAGAAUUUUAAAAAUACGAUCCUUGUACUAAAAUGUUGAAAAUUUUGGGAAAAUGGGGCACGUUCCACGUUAAUCGAGAAAGAAAGCAUCAUAUCCAGUAAGUUAGGACACAAUGUCUCGAAUUCUCGAUACGCGAAUGAAUGUCAAAAAUUACUUAUUUAAAAGAUGCUUAACUAUCUCGAAUUUAAAAAAGGGGAUCAAGUCCAGUAAGUUAGGACUCGAUCUUUUCUUAAUUUCCGAGAUCAUUUAAAACUUUGGUUAAAAAAAACUCGCGUAUUUAGAUUUAUUGUGAAAAUCGAAACCCAGUAAGUUAGGGUACGACCUUCUCGAGUCUAAACAUGAAAUUUUGUUUAUUCAAAUGUCAUAAUUUAUACAUUGAAUGAAAAAUAAUUUAACGCGUAAUAGUAGAAAUAAAACACGAUGUUAAUGUUCGUAACAAAAAAAUAAUGAAUUCGAUAAUGUAAGUAUGAAUAAUACGAGUAACAACAAAUAAAAGAUAAAUAAAUAAAAAACGAAUUAAACAUGCAAAAGAAUAAGCAAAUAAACUAUUCGAAUGAAAGUGGGCAUAAAUAAAUAAAAGAAAGUAAACACCACGCGAAAUAACGAAACCACAAAAGAAAUAAAAAUAUAUAAAUACAUGUAUAUAUAUUUUAGAAUUAUGAAAAUAUAGAAAAUAUUUAAAAAUAUGUAUACGUAUAUCUAUGUGUAAUAAAAUACGUAGAAAUAGAUAUAGGUAUGUGUAAGUAUGAAAAAUGAAAUAUAAAAAUAUAUUUAUAAUAACUUUAAAAUGUAUGUGUAUAUGUAUUAGGAAAAUGUAUAUAUUCACACACAAAAAUAAAAUAAAAUAUGUACACAUAUAUAUUAUAAAAAGUAUGCGUUUGUAUAUGUAAAUAUAUAACAAGAAUUUUAAAAUUAAAAGAGUAUAAUAAUAAUAAUAAUAAUAAUAAUAAUAAUUUGAAAACAUGAAAAGCUAGAAGUAAAUAAUAAAUAAUAAAAGAUACGGUAAGAUAAAAUAUAUAUAUAAAAACUAAAAAACUAAAAUAUAUAUAUAAUAUAAUAUAUAAAAAGGUAAUGCAAAACUAAUUUAUAUAAUAACGAUGAAUAAAUAAAUAAAUAUAACGGAAAAUAAAAACUAAUAAUAAAUAACAAUAAUAAUAAUAACAUCACAUUUAUUGAUUUAAUAAUAAAACAAACAAAAUAACAAAAAAGGGCUAAAUUAGAUAUUAAAACAAAAUUUGGGGCCAAAUCUAUAAAUAAAUAAAAGAGGAAGGACAAAGUUGAACGCGCGAACAACAAGAAGGGAUCAAGAGAGCAAUUUUUCCUUCUUUCCCAAAACGCACAGCAUCAUAGGACCAAAUUGUAAAGAAAAAUAAACUAAUGUGCGAAUUUAAAAAAACAAAAGGGUCUUGAUUGUAAAAUUAUUUAAAAGUGGAAGGGCUAAAGUGGCAAAUAUACCAUUGAACGAAAACACGCGGAUCCCCCUGGAGCGGGUCGGGUCGCGCGCGGGUCUAAGGCAAAACGGCGCCGUUUUGGUGCCUGAGAAGGCUGCCGAAAACGACGUUGUUUUGGAAGCUUAUUUAAGCUAAAUUUUUUUCAAACUUUUCAUUCUUCCCUUCUUUUCUCCAAAAAAUUUCCGAAAAUGCUCUCAAUUCCCCUCCCCCAUUCCGGGCACUGCCCAGAAUCUGGUGAACAGCGCCGCCGCGCCGCUGCCGCGCCGGCCACCGUACACAAUGGCCGGAAAAUUCAAAAGGUAUGUUUUUUUGCUUUUUUUAUAUGUUAUAAAUAUAUAGUUUUAAAAAAUAAAAGAAACAAAAUAGAAUACAAAUAGUUUCGAAAAGAGAAAAAAAAUAAAGAAAGAAAAAUAGAAAAAGAAAAUAGAUAUACCGAAAAAGGGUUUUUGAAUCUGCUUUUUUUUUUAUUUCUUCCAAUCGUGAAAGAGGGGCCGAACCCCUCACAUUCCUUUGGUUUCGACUUUUAUAGCCGAUUUUAACAUUUUUUAUCUAUGUCUACUGUUUGUUGUUGCGUGUUGGUUUCUCUUCUUGCAGGUGCAAGUGGCCGACGUGACAGUGGCGGGUGGAACAGGUGGCGCUGGUCAGAGGCGUCUGAAGGCUUGCUUGGGGCAGCGGCAGUACUAGGGUUUCAGAAAAGCUGAAACCCUAGUUUGACAAAUUGGUUUUGGGCCUGUGCAUUUUGGGCUUCGGGUUUUGGGCUGUAUUUGGGUUAGUUUUAGGUGGGUUUGGGUUUAAUUUGUUUAAGGUCUGUUGUUUAUGUUUUGGGUAUUGGGUUUUGUAAUUG
rnacentral:lncRNA from 1 species